UGCGCCUGUGGACCCCUUUGACUUAAGCAUAUUACUAAAGGGAGGAGAAGAAACUAAAUAGGAUUAUCUGAGUAGCGGCGAGUGAAA
rnacentral:rRNA from 1 species